AGCAAAAUAACAACAUCAAUACAAUACAAUACAACAUACAGAAAAAUAACAACAUCAAUACAAUACAAUACAACAUACAGAAAAAUAACAACAUCAAUACAAUACAAUACAACAUAUAGCAAAAUAUCAACAUCAACACAAUAUGAUACAACAUACAGAAAAAUAACAACAUCAAUACAAUAUGAUACAACAUACAGCAAAAUAUCAACAUCAACACAAUAUGAUACAACAUAUAGCAAAAUAUCAACAUCAACACAAUAUGAUACAACAUACAGAAAAAUAACAACAUCAAUACAAUAUGAUACAACAUACAGCAAAAUAUCAACAUCAACACAAUAUGAUACAACAUAUAGCAAAAUAUCAACAUCAACACAAUAUGAUACAACAUACAGAAAAAUAACAACAUCAAUACAAUACAAUACAACAUACAGAAAAAUAACAACAUCAACACAAUAUGAUACAACAUAUAGCAAAAUAUCAACAUCAACACAAUAUGAUACAACAUAUAGCAAAAUAUCAACAUCAACACAAUAUGAUACAACAUACAGAAAAAUAACAACAUCAAUACAAUAUGAUACAACAUAUAGCAAAAUAUCAACAUCAACACAAUAUGAUACAACAUAUAGCAAAAUAUCAACAUCAACACAAUAUGAUACAACAUACAGAAAAAUAACAACAUCAAUACAAUACAAUACAACAUACAGAAAAAUAACAACAUCAACACAAUAUGAUACAACAUAUAGCAAAAUAUCAACAUCAACACAAUAUGAUACAACAUAUAGCAAAAUAUCAACAUCAACACAAUAUGAUACAACAUACAGAAAAAUAACAACAUCAAUACAAUAUGAUACAACAUAUAGCAAAAUAUCAACAUCAACACAAUAUGAUACAACAUAUAGCAAAAUAUCAACAUCAACACAAUAUGAUACAACAUACAGAAAAAUAACAACAUCAAUACAAUACAAUACAACAUAUAGCAAAAUAUCAACAUCAACACAAUAUGAUACAACAUAUAGCAAAAUAUCAACAUCAACACAAUACAACAUACAACAAAACAAACACAACCAUCACUAG
rnacentral:lncRNA from 1 species